rnacentral:lncRNA from 1 species
UCCAUGAAGCUCAGAAUUACAGAUUUUGGUUAAGGUUAGCUUGGUCGAUUCCAUAUUUUUUUGGACUGCUGGUAACCUUGAGCUGAAAAUCUAUUUUUUUGGAUUUUCUUGAUGCUAUUCUUGGAAGGAGCUGGAUUUUGGACCUGGGAUUGAUACUCCAUCAUUACUCACUGGAUUUGAAACUUGCCUCACCUGAAUUGGAGAUUAUUAGGUGAGUUUUGACAUUGGAAUUGAGACAUUUAAGCUUAAGUGUUGAAAUUUUGGUGAAUUGAUGAAUUUUGAUGGAUUUUGGGUGUAGAU